AGGGUGAACUGUAUCUUUGGAAAUACCCUAAGGUCAUUUGGAUUCAACCCUGAAAUACAAGCUCUGUUUCUUUCGACGCGCACAAUUUCUGCAUUCAAAGAAACCACGAGGAAGUUGGAACUGGGCCAACGAGAGGGUUCUGUAAAACGACACUGCGCUCCUUAGGGCACCGUGGUACUGACCUUGGAGCCCACCUAGCCGUGCCACGCAGCCCAUUGCUCUCUGUCCCGUACAUGUUUGGACAAACGCCCUAUUGAAAUCAGAGUGGAGGGAUUACGGUACAGUGAUCCACCCUGCCUUGUGAUAAAAAAAUUGCACGAAGGCACUUCUUUGCUCCUCUGCUGCGUUCCAGGCACUGUUCUGGUGCCGGGCAACAGAGAGGCACAGGCCCUGCCUCUGAACGCCGCUGGGUCCCAUUCAUCUUCCUUCUGCCUCCUGGACAGCUCGCAAGUGACCUCCCCCUGGAACUCUGGAGCCACUUUAGCAGAAGAGGGAGGCAGCUGUCCUUCUAAGGGGCCUUCUGUCGUGCUUACAGUACAGACAAUAACAUGGGGCUGGUGUCUCUGUGACCCAGGAGCCCCUCCCCAGGCAGCACCUGCCCUCGCCCUGGCUCAGGCCCCAAGGACCACCUGCCUCUGGCCUGUAUCUAGGGCCACGCCAGUGACAUCUCCAAGCCUCGGUGUUCUCACCUGUCACAUGGUGACAUCACACCUGGCUUUCCUGCCCUCUGACUGAGCAAGUGAAAUCCCCAGUAAAAGGGGGUGAUGCAAACACCCUCUGGGUCAGAACCAGGAGAAUCUGCUGGGUCGUCCCGGGACCAAAGACGAACACGGUGACGAAGAAACUGAUGCCAAGGUAGCGCAUCGCACUCGGAGGUGAGGGGUGGCAGCUUCUCCUGGAUUUUGCUUCCAUUUGUACAAAAAGAGAAAACCGUUUUUUUUUUCUUUUUUCCGGCCAAGAAUCCCGUUCCUCACAGCAGGAGUUAGAAGAACAGCAC